UACGGAAGGUGCAAGCGUUGUUCGGAUUGACUGGGCGUAAAGAGCACGUAGGCGGGUUUAUAAGUCGAUUGUGAAAGCCCUGGGCUUAACCCAGGAACAGCAGUCGAUACUGUAGAUCUUGAAUAUCUGAGGGGUUAGUGGAAUUCCAGGUGUAGGAGUGAAAUCCGUAGAUAUCUGGAGGAACAUCGGAGGCGAAGGCGACUAACUGGCAGAAUAUUGACGCUGAGGUGCGAAAGCGUGGGUAGCAAACAGG
rnacentral:rRNA from 1 species